rnacentral:misc_RNA from 1 species
AACAUCUCAACUCUCACGGUUCGCCGUGAUGAGCUUGGACCUUGGGGGUCUUGCCGGCCUGCGGGUUGGCUCCUCUCAAAUCGAUCAGCUCGCCAGUGUUUGGUGGCAUCACGUGUGUGAUAACUAUCUACGCUCGUGGUUCUCUGCCAGGUAACCUUCGGUGACGGAGGUUCGCUGGAGCUCACAAACGUCUCUCCUCAGUGAGGACAGCUUUUUAAC